rnacentral:misc_RNA from 1 species
GAUGAAGAACGCAGCGAAAUGCGAUAAGUAAUGUGAAUUGCAGAAUUCAGUGAAUCAUCGAAUCUUUGAACGCACAUUGCGCCCCCUGGUAUUCCGGGGGCAUGCCUGUCCGAGCGUCAUUACAACCCUCAAGCUCAGCUUGGUAUUGGGCCCCGCCGACCCGGCGGGCCCUAAAGUCAGUGGCGGUGCCGUCCGGCUCCGAGCGUAGUAAUUCUUCUCGCUCUGGAGGUCCGGUCGUGUGCUCGCCAGCAACCCCCAAUUUUUUUCAGGUUGACCUCGGAUCAGGUAGGGAUACCCGCUGAACUUAAGCAUAUCAAUAAGCGGAGGA